UGGCAACCAAUGAGAGGCUUAAGAAGGGACCAGUGAAGAUCACCUUGGUGUUUUUGGUCAGCUGACAAAUUUUGUAUGAAAGAAGUCUUCUGCAGGAACCUGCGGCCUAGAUUAGGGAUCCAGUAAGUUUGCAGUGACCACUGGGACAGACUUGAAUAGUCAUGAAUUAAUUGUAGAAAGGUUGAAAAUGCUUUUAAAGACUCAAGGGAUAAAGGUUAAAAUACAUGAUUUGUUUGCAUUUUUUGAUUUUUGUAAAAGAGAUUUUUCCAU
rfam:Mus musculus chromosome X, GRC primary reference assembly.